rnacentral:rRNA from 1 species
CUUACAAUUGCGAUGGGGGGACGGAGAAGGCUAGGUGGGCCUGGCGACGGUUGUCCAGGUUCAAGUGCGUAGGCUUAAGAGUUAGGUAAAUCCGGCUCUUUUUAAGGCUGAGACACGACGUCGAGCAUCUACGGAUGUGAAGUCAUUGAUGCCAUGCUUCCAGGAAAAGCCUCUAAGCUUCAGAUUGUAAGGAAUCGUACCCCAAACCGACACAGGUGGUCGGGUAGAGAAUACCAAGGCGCUUGAGAGAACUCGGGUGAAG